rnacentral:rRNA from 1 species
ACACGCAUGACACACUGCAUAUCAAUAAGCGGAGGAAAAGAAACUAACAAGGAUUCCCUUAGUAACGGCGAGUGAAGCGGGAAGAGCUCAAAUUUGAAAUCUUCAAGGUUCUACCUUGACGAAUUGUAGUUUAUAGAAGUGUUUUCUGUUAGUGGAGUGGCAAAAGUUCUUUGGAAUAGGACAUCAUAGAGGGUGAGAAUCCCGUAUUUGGUCAUUCCUCCUAGCGUUGUGAUACACUUUCAACGAGUCGGAUUGUUUGGGAAUGCAGUCCAAAAUGGGUGGUAAAUUUCAUCUAAAGCUAAAUAUUGGCGAGAGACCGAUAGCGAACAAGUACCGUGAGGGAAAGAUGAAAAGAACUUUGAAAAGAGAGUUGAACAGUACGUGAAAUUGUCAAAAGGGAAGCGUUUGACACCAGUGUUGUUUUUCCGAAAAUCAAUUACGAAUGUUUUAUUUUUGAGGAGUUAUGACUUCAUCGGCUUGCUCCUUUCUUUAUGAAACUUUCUUAAUGCACUUUUCGGUUAACAAGUCAACAUCAAUUUCUUUUGUUGUAAAAGGGUAUGAGGAAGGUGGCUUUCUUUUCGGAGAAAGUGUUUAUAGCCUUGUGCCUCUGCAAUCGGAGAGAUUGAGGUCUGCAGCGUAGAUCCUUCGGGGUUAGAUACGUUUGUGCUAAGUUAUAGCUUUUCAUAGACAACUUGUUGACUAUGUUUAGUCUUGUAGCUUACUCGCUUAUGCUAUUUUACCUACGCUUAGGAUGUUGAACUACUGAGACAUAGA